GCAUAAUCUUCUCCAAGAGCUCACAUCGACGAGAAGGUUUGUCGCCUUGAUGUUGGCUCUUUGCCACCUGGGGCUAUAGUAUGUCCCAAGGGUUGGAUUGUUCACCCAUUAAAGCAGCAUGUGAGCUAGGUUUAAAAUGUUAUGAGACAAUUC
rnacentral:ncRNA from 1 species